GUACUCUCACACUUCCGAUCCUUCGAUUGGGAGCAGUGGACUUGGGUGCUGCUGCUUCACUGCGGCUCACCUCAAAUGGAUUAGUGCAACUCUUGGUUGGACAUAGUAUGGCAUGAUAAGUGUCUUCGCUGGUGCCUCAUAAUAAUAGAGGGUGGCCAAUCAGGAGCUCUGUGCUUUCAAACCGUCUUCAGACAAUGACUGACA
rnacentral:misc_RNA from 1 species